rnacentral:rRNA from 1 species
AACGAACGCUGGCGGCAUGCCUAACACAUGCAAGUCGAACGAGACCUUCGGGUCUAGUGGCGCACGGGUGCGUAACGCGUGGGAACCUGCCCUUAGGUUCGGAAUAACUCCCCGAAAGGGGUGCUAAUACCGGAUAAUGUCUUCGGACCAAAGAUUUAUCGCCUUUGGAUGGGCCCGCGUUGGAUUAGCUAGUUGGUAGGGUGAAAGCCUACCAAGGCGACGAUCCAUAGCUGGUCUGAGAGGAUGAUCAGCCACACUGGGACUGAGACACGGCCCAGGCUCCUACGGGAGGCAGCAGUGGGGAAUAUUGGACAAUGGGCGAAAGCCUGAUCCAGCAAUGCCGCGUGAGUGAUGAAGGCCUUAGGGUUGUAAAGCUCUUUUACCCGGGAUGAUAAUGACAGUACCGGGAGAAUAAGCUCCGGCUAACUCCGUG